GCCAGGCAUGGUGGUGUGAACCUGUAGUCCCAGUUAACUCGAGAGGCUGAGACAGGAGGAUUGCUUGGGUCUAGGGGUUCUGGGCUGUAGGGUACAAUGAUGAUCAUGUCCCUAUACUAAGUUUGGCAUCAAUAUAGUGACCUCCCAGGAGAGGGAGACCACCAGGUUGCCUAGGGAGUGGUGAUCCAGAACAAGUGGAUUGGAGCAGGUCCAAGGUCCCAUGCUGAUUGGUAGUGCAAUUGCACCUGUGAAUACUUACCGCAUUCCAGCCUACAAUGCACACAGUGAGACCCUCUUCUCU
rnacentral:SRP_RNA from 1 species